rnacentral:lncRNA from 1 species
UCAACUUGAAGAUCGACGGACUUGAAGACUUCAACUUUGAGACUUGGAGGGCCUAAAUAUUUCAACUUGAAGAUCGGCGAAUUUGAAGACUUCAACUUGAAGACCGACAGACUUGAAGACUUCAACUUUGAGACUUGGAGGGCCUAAAUAUUUCAACUUGAAGAUCGGCGAAUUUGAAUUUUUCAACUUGAAGAUCGACGGACUUGAAGACUUCAAUUUUGAGACUUGGAGGGCCUAAAUAUUUCAACUUGAAGAUCGGCGAAUUUGAAGACUUUAACUUGAAGACCGACAGACUUGAAGACUUCAACUUUGAGACUUGGAGGGCCUAAAUAUUUCAACUUGAAGAUCAGCGGAUUUGAAGACUUCAACUUGAAGACCGAUGGGGUUGAAGAUUUCAACUUGGGGACUUCA